rnacentral:hammerhead_ribozyme from 1 species
AUCCAGCUGAGUCCCAAAUAGGACGGAACGUGCGUCCUGGAU